GACGAACGCUGGCGGCGUGCUUAACACAUGCAAGUCGAACGAUGAAGCCUAGCUUGCUAGGUGGAUUAGUGGCGAACGGGUGAGUAAUACGUGAGUAACCUACCUUUAACUCUGGGAUAAGCCUGGGAAACUGGGUCUAAUACCGGAUACGACCAAUCUCCGCAUGGGGUGUUGGUGGAAAGCGUUAUGUAGUGGUUAUAGAUGGGCUCACGGCCUAUCAGCUUGUUGGUGAGGUAACGGCUCACCAAGGCGACGGCGGGUAGCCGGCCUGAGAGGGUGACCGGCCACACUGGGACUGAGACACGGCCCAGACUCCUACGGGAGGCAGCAGUGGGGAAUAUUGCACAAUGGGCGCAAGCCUGAUGCAGCGACGCCGCGUGAGGGAUGACGGCCUUCGGGUUGUAAACCUCUGUUAGCAGGGAAGAAGAGAAAUUGACGGUACCUGCAGAGAAAGCGCCGGCUAACUACGUG
rnacentral:rRNA from 1 species